rnacentral:rRNA from 1 species
CAGCAGCCGCGGUAAUACGAAGGGGGCUAGCGUUGCUCGGAAUUACUGGGCGUAAAGGGAGCGUAGGCGGACAUUUAAGUCAGGGGUGAAAUCCCAGAGCUCAACUCUGGAACUGCCUUUGAUACUGGGUGUCUUGAGUGUGAUAGAGGUAUGUGGAACUCCGAGUGUAGAGGUGAAAUUCGUAGAUAUUCGGAAGAACACCAGUGGCGAAGGCGACAUACUGGAUCAUUACUGACGCUGAGGCUCGAAAGCGUGGGGAGCAAACAGGAUUAGAUACCCCUGUAGUCCCUGUCUCUUAUAC